AUGUGCUUCAUCAAGAGAUUUUUAGAUGACCUUGAGUUAGCAGAUUCUAGAACAGCAAGACCGGCUUUGGGGCGAGCGGUACGGCCCCGCGCCAAAGCUUGGCUACCACCGACGGGGAAUGCGGCAAAGCUAAACUGUGAUGGGGCUCUUUCCACCUUGGGAGAAAGGGGAGUUGCGGCUGUGAUAUGUAGGGAUAAAGAUGGAUGUUAUCUGGGAGCAUCGGCAGUGGUGAUUGAUGGCAUGAUUGAUCCAGCAAGCUUGGAAGCACUAGCCUGUAGUGAGGCCCUCGCCCUUGCUCGGGAUUUGAACUUACAAGACCUGGAGAUAGCCUCCGACUGUCAGGUGGUGAUAGCGCACAUCAGGGAUGGUGGAGCGGCGGUCUAUGCUUCUAUCCUUAGGGAAAUCGAACUUAGUAAGAAUGAUUUUACUUCUGUUAUUUUCCAUUUUGAAUUUAGGGAGAAUAAUUUUGAGGCCCACUCGCUAGCGAAAGGAGCUGCGUCUCUUGCGGUGGGUCGCCAUGUGUGGCUGGGGGUUUUGCCCGAUAUUGCUUGUAUUCCUCAGAUUUUGAGUCAUGAAUAA
rnacentral:rRNA from 1 species